rnacentral:rRNA from 1 species
GGUAGCCGGCCUGAGAGGGCGGAACGGCCACAUUGGGACUGAGACACGGCCCAAACUCCUACGGAAGGCAGCAG